GUGGUGAGUGUCAUCUCUAGGUGGGGCCUUUAAGGAGCAGGUGAACUUCUCCACCCUGAGGGCAAUCUAGCUGCAGAAGGCUCCCAAGGUCCCGGAGUUUGGUGGAGCCAUAACCUGUAAGCUACCUGGCUCACCACAUGAAGGAACUCCAGCCAGGAACACCUGCUUUGGACUAUUACGGAUAUUCUCCGAAUUUUCCCCGGCAAUGACCCCUGUGGAGCCUGACCCACUGAAACUCUCAUUCCGUAAGAGAGCAUCAACUCAGCCUUGAGUCAGGUCUGCAAGGCUGCGUGUCCUUGGGGGCUCCUGCUCCCCGCAGCCGGCCCUGCUGUGAUUCCACCUUCUGCUGGUUGAUCGCGGCUUCUGGGCUCUGCUCUCCCUCAAACCCUGCAUCCCAACAGCUGGUGCCAAGUGAAAGAAGCCAUUCACAAGACAAUACCUCCUGCGAGAUGCUCUUUAUGUUAAGAACAGGCAGCUAGCUAUCCGUCAUCUAAGGUGCUGGAACUCAGAACCGUGGUUGCCUUCAGGGGUGGAGGGGAUGACGGGGAAGGCGCCGUAGGAAACUUCCUGAGAGGAUGGAAAUGUUUCGUACCUUGAUGGGGCUAUUGAUUACACAGGCGUAUACAUUUGUAAAGACUCGGUAAACCGUAUGUUAAGACCUGUGUGUUUCACUGUGUGUAAGCCAUGCCUCAAUAAAAUUAGCUUAAUGAAAA